rnacentral:rRNA from 1 species
GAUGAACGCUGGCGGCGUGCCUAAUACAUGCAAGUCGAGCGAACAGACGAGGCGCUUGCUCCUUUCUCGUUAGCUGCGCACGGGUGAGUAACACGUAUGUAACCCACCUGUAAGACUGGGAUCACUUCGAGAAACCGGCGCUAAUACCGUAUAAUAUUUCGAACCGCAUGGUUCGAUAGUGAAAGAUGGCUUUGCUAUCACUUAUCGAUGGACCUGCGCCGUAUUAGCUAGUUGGUAAGUUAACGGCUUACCAAGGCAACGAUACGUAGCCGACCUGAGAGGGUGAUCGGCCACACGGGAACUGGGACACGGUCCAGACUCCUACGGGAGGCAGCAGUAGGGAACCGGCCGCAAUGGUCGAAAACAUGACGGAGCAACGGCGAGAGAGUGAUGAAGGUCUUCGGAUCGUAAAACACGGUUAUUAGGGAAGAACAAACGUGUAAGUAAAUGUGCACGUCUUGACGGUACCUAAUCAGAAAGCCACGGCUAACUACGUG